rnacentral:rRNA from 1 species
UAGUGUAGUUAACACCUGCACUAUUUGACGUUACCUACACGAAGAAGCACCGGCUAACUCCGUGCCAGCAGCCGCGGUAAUACGGAGGGUGCGAGCGUUAAUCGGAAUUACUGGGCGUAAAGCGCAUGCAGGCGGCCUGUUAAGUCAGAUGUGAAAGACCCGGGGCGUUAACCUCGGAAUUGCAUUUGUAAACUGGCAGGCUAGAGUCUUGUAGAGGGGGGUAGGAAUUUCAGGUGUAGCGGUGAAAUAGCGUAGAGAUCUGAAGGAAUACCAGUGGCGAAGGCGGCCCCCUCGGACAAAGACUGACGCUCAGAUGCGAAAGCGUGGGGAGCAAACAGGAUUAGAUACCCCUGGUAG